ensembl:lncRNA
GUGCCUUUUACACUUAUCUCAAGUUAAUUUGGGUUUCAUAAAGGUGCCCCGUUGAUAAACAGUUAGCCAGCCAGCCAGCCAGCCAGUCAGUCAGUCAGUUAGUCAGUUAGUCAGUUAGUCAGUCAGCCAGCCAGCCAGUCAAUCAGUCAGCCAGCCAGCCAGCCAGCCAGUCAGUCAGUCAGUCAGUCAGUUAGCCAGCCAGCCAGUCAGUCAGUCAGCCAGCCAGCCAGACAGUUAGUCAGCCAGCCAGCCAAUCAGCCAACCAGCCAGUCAGUCAGUCAGUUAGUCAGCCAGCCAGCCAGUCAGUCAGUUAGUCAGCCAGCCAGAUAGCCAGUCAGCCAGCCAGUCAGUCAGUCAAUUAGUUAGCCAGUCAAUCAGUCAGCCAGCCAGUCAACGAGUUAGUCAGCCAGCCAGCCAGUUAGUCAGCCAGCCAGCCAGUUACUCAGUCAGUCAGUCAGUCAGUCAGUCAGUUACUCAGUCAGACAAUCAGACAGUUAGUCAGUCAGUCAGACAGUUACUAAGUCAGUCAAUACAACCGUUGUAGUUAUAUCUUUAAAUUGUUCCCACAGUAUGAAUUGAACAGUAACCAAGGACCAAGUCCCAACACACGUACCAGGAAGUAGUAGUCACCAUAAGGAUACAACCACAUUAGUAAAGAGAACAGGGAAGAAUUGGCAUCACUGUAGGCCUACAUCAGUAUAAUGUCAUUUAUGAGAGAAGCGUACCACAUGCUCUAGCUACUGUGAUCUUUUUCAGUGAUGCCGUGAUCAGACACUCCUGCACACCAAAGACAAUUGGCUAUCUGGCCAGGGUUGGCCUCUUCUCAGGGGAGGUGGAGCCCUAUGGGACGACCCGAGACAAAGUUUGUCUGGAGGUUAUGGACCGCCUCAAGGCACAGCCUGAUGGGAAAUACGUGGUGGUCACGUGGGGACACCUUUAUUUGUUCACACCUGUCCGUGUUCAGAUAUAGCCCAGGGAACUCGUCCAUCCUGGCUGAUCAGAUCGCCUUGAACCUGGUGUGCCCAGAGCGGUGAGUGAAAGAGGAAUGGCUUUGUUGUUUCUGGUUAGAAAGUCAAGAAAAAUGAUUUUAGUCCAGGGUUUUGUUUAUGUUCAAUACAUCCAACUGGAUGAAUGCUUAUAAAUGUUACUUAUGCUUAUAAAUAUCUAAUUAUUCUGUUGUUUGUGUCUCACCUCUUCCCCCUACACCCCCUUACCAAUUUUAUCACAUCAGCACACACACUCAAUACCAUGCUUUUCACACAUUCACACACACAUCAAUAAACAUCACAUACACACACACACACACAUACGCAUACACUCUUCCCCCAGUCACCGAGGCGGAAGGAGGGCUCCUAUCCCUCAUUCCACCUUCAUUAACUAUCUCUCCUUCCACCUUCAUUAUCUAUCCCUCAUUCCACCUUCAUUAACUAUCCCUCCUUCUACCUUCAUGAACUAUUCCUCCUUCCACUCUCAUUAACUAUCCCUCCUUCCACCUUCAUUAACUAUGGCUCCUUCCACCUUCAUUAACUAUCCCUCCUUCCACCUUCAUUAACUAUCCCUCCUUCCACCUUCAUUAACUAUCCCUCCUUCCACCUUCAUUAACUAUGGCUCCUUCCACUCUCAUUAACUAUCCCUCCUUCCACCUUCAUUAACUAUCCCUCCUUCCACCUUCAUUAACUAUGGCUCCUUCCACUCUCAUUAACUAUCCUGCCGUCCACCUUCAGUAACUCUCUUCUGACAAUCUAAGAUGAUCAAGCA